rnacentral:rRNA from 1 species
CGGGUAGCAAUACCCAGUCGAGCGGCGGACGGGUGAGUAACGCGUGGAUAAUCUACCUUUUGGUGGGGGAUAACCCGGGGAAACUCGGGCUAAUACCGCAUAAGAUCGCAAGAUGAAAGGGGCGUAAGUCCCGCCGGAAGAGGAGUCCGCGUCCGAUUAGCUAGUUGGUAGGGUAAUGGCCUACCAAGGCGACGAUCGGUAGCCGGCCUGAGAGGGUGAUCGGCCACACUGGAACUGAGACACGGUCCAG